rnacentral:rRNA from 1 species
UUUCCGGUUGAUCCUGCCGGACCUGACUGCUAUCGGAUUGAUACUAAGCCAUGUGAGUCAUUGUAGCAAUACAAGGCAGACGGCUCAGUAACACGUAGUCAAUCUACCCUAUGGACGGGGAUAACCUCGGGAAACUGAGGAUAACACCCGAUAGAUCAUAAUUCCUGGAAUGGUUUAUGGUCCAAACGAUUCGUCGCCGUAGGAUGGGACUGCGGCCUAUCAGCUUGUUGGUGAGGUAAUGGCCCACCAAGGCUAUUACAGGUACGGGCUCUGAGAGGAGAAGCCCGGAGAUGGGUACUGAGACACGGACCCAGGCCCUAUGGGGCGCAGCAGGCGAGAAACCUUUGCAAUGUGCGCAAGCACGACAAGGUUAAUCCGAGUGUUUCCUGCUAAAGGAAUCUUUUGUUAGUUGUAAAACCACUAUCGAAUAAGGGGUGGGCAAGUUCUGGUGUCAGUCGCCGCGGUAAAACCAGCACCUCAAGUGGUCAGGAGGAUUAUUGGGCCUAAAGCAUCCGUAGCCUGUUCUGUAAGUUUUCGGUUAAAUCCACUAGCUCAACUAGUGGGCUGCCGAAAAUACUGUAGAACUAGGGAGUGGGAGAGGUAGACGGUAUUCGGUAGGAAGGGGUAAAAUCCUUUGAUCUAUUGAGGACCACCUGCGGCGAAGGCGGUCUACCAGAACACGUUCGACGGUGAGGGAUGAAAGCUGGGGGAGCAAACCGGAUUAGAUACCCGGGUAGUCCCAGCUGUAAACGAUGCAGACUCGGUGAUGCCCUGGCUUGUGGCCAGUGCAGUGCCGCASGGAAGCCGUUAAGUUUGCCGCCUGGGAAGUACGUACGCAAGUAUGAAACUUAAAGGAAUUGGCGGGGGAGCACCACAAGGGGUGAAGCCUGCGGUUCAAUUGGAGUCAACGCCGGG